CAGAGAAUAGUUUAUUUAAAAUAUUAAUUUUGGGGAUUAAUGAUAGAUUGUUAUAUCUUUCUCUGA
rnacentral:tRNA from 1 species